GGAAUCUUCGGCAAUGGGGGCAACCCUGACCGAGCAACGCCGCGUGAGUGAAGAAGGUUUUCGGAUCGUAAAGCUCUGUUGUAAGAGAAGAACGAGUGUGAGAGUGGAAAGUUCACACUGUGACGGUAUCUUACCAGAAAGGGACGGCUAACUACGUGCCAGCAGCCGCGGUAAUACGUAGGUCCCGAGCGUUAUCCGGAUUUAUUGGGCGUAAAGCGAGCGCAGGCGGUUAGAUAAGUCUGAAGUUAAAGGCUGUGGCUUAACCAUAGUACGCUUUGGAAACUGUUUAACUUGAGUGCAAGAGGGGAGAGUGGAAUUCCAUGUGUAGCGGUGAAAUGCGUAGAUAUAUGGAGGAACACCGGUGGCGAAAGCGGCUCUCUGGUCUGUAACUGACGCUGAGGCUCGAAAGCGUGGGGAGCAAACAG
rnacentral:rRNA from 1 species